rnacentral:rRNA from 1 species
AGCAGUCGCCACGGGAAUACGAAGGGUGCAAGCGUUAAUCGGAAUUACUGGGCGUAAAGGGUGCGUAGGCGGUUUGUUAAGACAGAUGUGAAAUCCCCGGGCUCAACCUGGGAACUGCAUUUGUGACUGGCAAGCUAGAGUCUGGCAGAGGGGGGUGGAAUUCCGCGUGUAGCAGUGAAAUGCGUAGAUAUGCGGAGGAACACCGAUGGCGAAGGCAGCCCCCUGGGCCAACACUGACGCUCAUGCACGAAAGCGUGGGGAGCAAACAGGAUUAGAUACCCGCGUAGUCCCUGUCUCUUAUAC